AAUAAUUUAAUAAAUAUUGAAUUGAUGAAAAUUAAAAAUGGUGAAAGUGAUUGUUACAAAAAAAAAAUAUCGGGAAGAAUGGGAAAAAGAAGACUUUUUCAAAGGUGCAUUGGUCCCUCCAUUUAUUAUUUAUUAUAAAAUUUUUUGUAUUUUGUGGGAUGGCUGUGUAAAGCUCCAGAGAGCUUAAUCAGCUCUGGUCGAGGUGAAGCUUAUUGUAGAGUCUGCCGAAUUUCGUUACGGGUUCAAAAGCACGAUUUAAAAAAACAUCUGGUACUCAAGCUCAUUCUAAUAAAAUAGAUGCUUUGAAUAUAAAAAACAAUCAACUUUAACUAGCAUUGGAGUAUAUAAUGUAAAUGAUGCGUUAAAAUUAGCAGAAUUAAAAAUAGUUUUAAAUAAUGCUGCUCAUGGCUCUUUAAGGAGUAUCGAUCACCUGUGUGAAAUGCUUAAAGAAGUUGGUAAAGGAAAUCAGCUUACAAAAUUACGAUUACAUCGAACAAAAUGUUCAAAAAUCAUUCUGAAUGUCAUUGCGCCUGGUAUGUUAAGAGAGCUGCUCGAAGAUUUGGGUGAGGAAAGUUAUUCUUUGUUGCUGGAUGAAUCCACAGACGUACCAACAAUGAAAUAUAUGGCCUAUUGUAUCAGAUACUUCAGUAAAAAACAAAAAAAAAUGUUAACAGACUUUUUGGGCUUUAAUGAAGUCACUGUAGCUACAGCAGACCAAUUGUUUCUCGAUUUCGAAGAUUUUACAAAUAAACUUGGAUUAAAUAUGGAGAAACUUGAAGGGAUUGGUACUGACGGUGCGAGUAAUCUUUGUGGUGUGAACCACAGUUUAUACGUAUUGAUUAAAAGAAAGUAUCCACGAGUGCAGCUACUUAAAUGUAGUUACCACUCUUUGAGCUUAGUUGCAGCUAAAGCAUCAGAACAGUUACCCUCAAACUUAGAAUUUCCUCUUCAAAAUUCGAGAAACUGGUUUGUGAAUAGUUCAUUGCGCUUAAAUACAUAUCAUGAUUUGUACUCAAAAAUGGAAUCAGGGAAGAAACCUUCGAAACUGAUACAAUUGGAACCUACUCGUUGGUUGUCAUUGACUGGAGCUGUAACAUCUAAUUUAAAGCAAUGGGAAGAAUUAAAAAGUUAUUUUAAGUUAAUUAAAAAUUCA